CUCUGCAGUUAUUCAAUGAUAGGGGUUAUACCAUACAAAAAGCAGAAGAGAGUGGAGUGAUAGUUGAUAAAGCCUCCCUGCGUGGUGCUAAAAAUCAGGCACAGAUUGUAUUAGUAGCUGCACAUCAUAUUGUUGAUAGUUCUUAAGAGAACCAAGGUUGAUGUACAUGGGGUCUUCCCUCGCUGAGUUUGUUUCUUUCGAGUGCUUGUUAGAACCCUUAUUUUGGUGUAGAGGGUCUCCACAGGUAAAUGGGUUUUGGCGUGCUUUCAUUGUUUGCUUCUGCACCUAGUGACUUGGAGUCAUUUUGUUG
rnacentral:misc_RNA from 1 species